CCUACGGGAUGCACCAGUGGGGAAUAUUGCACAAUGGGCGCAAGCCUGAUGCAGCCAUGCCGCGUGUGUGAAGAAGGCCUUCGGGUUGUAAAGCACUUUCAGCGGGGAGGAAGGCGGUGAGGUUAAUAACCUCAUCGAAUGACGUUACCCGCAGAAGAAGCACCGGCUAACUCCGUGCCAGCAGCCGCGGUAAUACGGAGGGUGCAAGCGUUAAUCGGAAUUACUGGGCGCAAAGCGCACGCAGGCGGUCUGUCAAGUCGGAUGUGAAAUCCCCGGGCUCAACCUGGGAACUGCAUUCGAAACUGGCAGGCUAGAGUCUUGUAGAGGGGGGUAGAAUUCCAGGUGUAGCGGUGAAAUGCGUAGAGACCUGAAGGAAUACCGGUGGCGAAGGCGGCCCCCUGGACAAAGACUGACGCUCAGGUGCGAAAGCGUGGGGAGCAAACAGGAUUAGAUACCCGUGUAGUC
rnacentral:rRNA from 1 species